UACGUAGGGUGCAAGCGUUGUCCGGAUUUAUUGGGCGUAAAGAGCGUGUAGGCGGCCAGGUAGGUCAGCUGUGAAAACUCGAGGCUCAACCUCGAGACGCCGGUUGAAACCAUCUGGCUAGAGUCCGGAAGAGGAGAGUGGAAUUCCUGGUGUAGCGGUGAAAUGCGCAGAUAUCAGGAAGAACACCAGUGGCUAAGGCGGCCCGCUAGGACGGCACUGACGCUGAGACGCGAAAGCGUGGGGAGCGAACAGG
rnacentral:rRNA from 1 species